UUCGUAACACACGAUUUGACAGACUGAUCUCCGGACCACAAAAAUAAACCUUAGAUGGGGUUACCAGAACCUUGUUAACAUAAACCAAACCAUCAUCUAAGGCAACAGCAGGGGAAUUAAGUAGUCUGCCAGAUAAGACAUACUUCGUAUAUUGCUCUUCGAGCCAGCUUACAGGCUCAUAGCAGCAGUCUCUUAGAUGAAAUAGCGUCUCCAAUGCAUGUUCUAUGCAUUCCAUCUUGAUUCUACUUGGAUCAACCAAGCGAAAGAAUUUGGCAUCAAGUGCCGGCCCUGCAAUGCAGCCAUGUUGAACCAGAGAAUUGAUUUUGAACAAUAUUUUGAAUGGCAAUUUAAUGCCAUGAGGUGGACUGAUCAUAGGGACAAGAUCAGUGUUGCUAGAGAACCCCGAACCUCGUACUAGAGUGAACUGGAGUGGACUUUCUUUGCAGUAAAAGAAAUCUUUCAGAGCUUUCGGAAUAUGAGCCCCUCUGGGAAGUUCCAAACACAUGGCAGAUGAUUGUCCAAUGCUUGACGAUGGAGUAAAAUCAACUUCGCGAACCCAGUGGAUAUCUUUCUCAUAAAUCAUAGGAGCACCAUAUAACUGGCAACAGAAAACAAAGAAAACAAGCUUUUAGCGUAUAACAUUUGAAAGAAGUAAACUGAUCGAUCAUGCAACACGGUAUUGAAGUUAUAACUUUCUUGUAAGUGAUCAAUUUGCAAAAAGCUAUAUUUCUUGAUACAUAACAUGAAGUGAUUUUAUAAAAUGAUCUCAUAUUGAUUAGUUGUAUUGCAAAAUACAAACCUGAAUGACAAGAUAUUUAACAGAGUGACCUCUGGGACGGUGUAGCACAAUCUGCCAAAUGCUUUCAUAGGAGAGCUCAAGCUUAUAAUCUACAGAUGCAUAAGACAGAAAGAACAUAAAUUUUCUGAGGUCCGAACACAGUUUCACAGAAACAUUUUCCUGUGACCAGAGCACAGAAAACUUGUCCUUGGAAAUUUGGCAUCCAAAAUUCAACUUCAAAUCAUCAUCCAACUUGUAAUACGGGGUCCUUCUCUUUUCAUCGGAAGCUUUCAGAUAAGAUUUCCCGUACCACAAAAGACGCCCAGCAGCCAACCCCUUGAUUAGUUCUGCAGCUUCCACAGUUGUGAACUCAACUAUAGCAUGUGCUCUUGAACCUUCCUUUUGUCCAACUUCAACAUUAGAAACAGUUCCUUCACCGGUAUGUAGCUCCAGAAAUUCCUUCACAGCUUUGGAAGACACAAGUGAAGCAAAUCCAAACAAACUGAUCAUCUUAGCCAUUUCGUCAAUGCAAUUUCAACUGCAGUUUCAAUUGUGCAUUAUUGAAGUUAGCAACUCAUACAACACCAACUUACGCAAUCAAUUAACGAUAAAAGGCGACACAUGCUCAUACAGAAAUAUAUAACUAGGACAGAAAGCAAAUUCAAAACCAAAUACAAUAAGCAAAUGAGUUAACAGGAAACAGUGAUUACUCACGGAAGCUUGCAGCAAGCGAUGUCAAUGAACACUAAGUAGCUUUGUGAGAAACAAAUGGUGAUCAAGGAGGGAAUAUAUAGAGAUAAAAGCUCGUUAAUGCCUUCUUCUUGGUCUUCAGUUUUCAAUACUAGGAAACUUAUCAUAUAAGCUGACUUGACUAUGACCUUUGGGCCCCAUUGAUUGUGUAGCUGCUUAAGUUCGCCCAAACUCCCAUGUGACUGACACGUCUCGACAUCUCAUUGGUUGAAAUGAGUUUUGUCAGAUGAAAUAGCUAGUUUUAAUUCAACACACAGGGUCACGCGGAGUUAGAAAAUGCCAUGUUGUGUCCAUAGUGUCUUCGUAAGAUUCUUCAGUUAAAGUCGUCAUUGGUUCAACGUUGACAUGAAUUGAUCCACUGUGAGAGUCUCCAGAGUUUCAUGCAAUAAACUGUCAAUCAUUUAAGUACACAUCGUCAAGAUACUUUCUCUGUUGGGUUGUCGCACAAGAUUAUUGAUCAGUGAGCGAAGUUCUCGAAUGUUCCCGCCAUAUUUUAAUGAUUUGAUAAGAGAACAAAGUGUGCAUGCAUUUAACUUCCAUACAAGGAACGCAUAUUUUAAUGCUAGCAAAAAGGCGAAAAGUGAUAAUGAAAAUUAAUGUCCCUAGUAGCAUUACAGGGAAGGAGAAGGGAUCUGAGCUGCUCGAAGAAGGAUGAAUAAAGAGAUAGGUGCUUUUGAAAUAUUUCUGUUUUGCAUAAAGUUGUGGAAAGCGGAAACAAUAACGAAACUUGCAUGCCACGAAGAAAGACAGUACAUGUCAGUCAGGUUCCUAGAAGAUAAAGCUAUAUCCAAUAGGAGUAAUAGUCCUCGUUAUUCCAUACACUUUAUUAUGACACUUGCAUUUAGUAAUUCAUAUGCAAAUUAUAUUUCAUUAAACAAGUUGUGUCUCACUUCAUUUAGAUAUAAAAUAGUAGUUAAAAUAAGAUAUUGAAUAAGCUAAUUAAGCUAUCCAAUAAGAUUUCCGAUAAAAUUUGUAUAUCCUUAAAUGACUGUUAUUGUUUUAAUUUUUUUAUAUAAUUUUUUUUUAAGUGAAAACACUUUUACAACAUGAUUAGCAUUAAAUAUUUUCAGAAAUCCAAAUCUAAUCCACUAGGAAAGACAAUGACAAUCAGACUGGCAUGCCAUGAAGGUGGAAAGUGCAGUAAACUUAGAAAGACUAUCGACCCACCAUUCCACUAGGAGAAGCUCAAGGAAUAUAUAUACCUUUAUGUGUACUAAUGGAAUAUUAAGUUCCAUAAUGCCAUCAUUUUCUUGCUUUUUUUUUUAAUGAAAAUUCACUAAGAUGGUGGGGGGUUAGGCAGGGACCCCUACCUGUAAAUAAAUCAAUCAAUGAAUGAACAUAAGGAGGGAGAUAUAAACCAAAACCUUUCAAGAGAAGCAAAUGAUUUAGUGAUCAAUAAAAAACCAAUACAAAUCAAGGUGAUUAAUGUUGAAUACAUGGAAUUUCGAGAGUGUCCAAAUGAAGAAUGCCUGAUAAACCAAUUGGAAGGUCUCCAGGAUUGAAAAAUCGCUGACAAGAAUGAUGAGUACAAGCCUAGUUGGCCAUAAAGUCAACAGCAGAUGUAGCUUCUCGAAAAACAUGCCUGAUAAUAAUAGAUGGGCUAGAAGCCAAUGCUCGAACACGCUCAAGGAGGUAAAUAAAAUCCCACUACACGAAUCCACUUGAAAUAGUCCAAGAAACCACUGUGGCUGAAUCAGAUUUCACCUCAAGAUCAAAAAAAUCAAGUUGAGCAGCAAGAUCUAAACUCUUUAAUAAAGCUAUCAAUUCAGCAAGAAGAAUAGAUUGGUGCCCCAAAAAGGAACCAAAGGCAGCUAAUACCACACCUUAAUGAUCUCACAAAACACCACCUAUAGCAGCCAUACCUCAGUUUCCCCUAGAACAACCAUCCACACUCAACUUCACCACCCCCGACGGCGGUUUCAUUCAAGAAACCAAUCGAGGUGGUCUACGGGGAGGCAUGAUAAUCCACAACCCUCCCCAAUCUGAGUAUCCAAAAUAUCCCUCAACUGAGAUGGAUUGAAACCAAACGCGUCACUAGCUAGCCUAAUAUCCAGGAGCACUCUAAAAAUAACAUCUUCUGCAUUAAAGGCAACAUAAUCAUACUUAAGGGUGUUUCGAGCCUUCCAAACAUGCCAUAGAAUGAAGUAUGAGAGAAUGACUCGAAUAUGUUUUAAAGAACAGCAACACCGCCGCCAGUGACUAAGCAAAGCAUGGGGAGACAAAAAAAAGAGAUACGGACUACCAAUCAUUGAAUAAAACCGCCGCCAAACCUGUUGAACCACUGGGCAAUCCAAAAGUAAGUGUCUAAUAGUCUCAACAUCCCGAUUACAAAGACACCGAGAAACCAUGUGCAAACCCCUCAAGCAAAAAGCAUCAUCCGUGGCCAAGAAACCAUGCAACACGCACCACAAGAAAAAAGAGACCCGUGAAGGAAUAUGUUGUUGCCAAAUUAAAGGAAAAACCUCAUUCUGGCUAUGAGACCCACCGAUAAAUUCCCAGCUAUUCCCUAGAGAAAAAUUCUCAUCCCUAGAUAAGACCCAACAAAGUAUAUCUGGCUUUUGAUACAGCUUACGUUACGUUGACUGCGUUUUACCAAAGGUGCAGGGAAAUAAUUAUUAAGUGGGAGAAUUUGAUGUGUGCUGAAGGAUCAUGUGAAUUGGAUGUAUGGCCUUGUCUUAUAAAUUUGAUAAGUGAUGUGAUUUGUCAAAUGGCUUUUGGGAGCAGCUAUGAAGAAGGAAUUAUAAGGAUUUAUAUUGUCCAUUAAAGCCUCUAUUGGGACCAGUAAAAGGUCUUGGAGCAAAUCCUCUCAUAAGAUUAAAAUCAGGCCUAAAACCUCCUCUACCACCUCUGCCAUGAUACCUUUGAGGCACAAAGGCAGGAUUAAAUCUAUUCUUACAUUUAUUAGCUCCAUGUACAGGAAAAAGCAAAUUUAGGAAAUAACGGAAUCAAAAUUGCCACCCUCAUUGCUGUUUGAACCUGAAUUAAGUGUGUUGCUAUUAAAAAAAUUCCCUUUUUGAUUUCCAGAAACACCUUUAGGCAUCACUUGAUUUUUCUGAGCAAAAUUUGUAGUUAAAUUGUGCACAAUAUCAUAACUAAUCUUGCCUUUCUUCUGUUCAAUUCUCAUCUCAUGGCUUAAGAGCAAUGCAUACAAAUCAUCUACAUUCAUACUUUCACCUCUGUCUAACAAACUUGUAACAAGUGACUUAUAUUCCUGAGACUAUAAACCAGUCAAAAUAUAAGUAACCAGAUCAGCAUGUUCAACUGGUUUACCAGCAAUAGCAAAUGUACCUGCCAAUCUCUUCAUCAUAGUAAAAUAUGCACAUAUAUUUAUUGAUCCUUUUAUAGCAGUUUGUAAUUGCAUCUUAAUAGACAUUAUACAAGCUUGAGUUUGAGAAACAAACACACGUGUUAAGAAAUCCCACAGCUCUUGAGAUGAGACACAGUGAAUCACAAAGGAGAGCAAAUUUUCUUGAAUUGAAGACAUCAUCCAGCUAAGAAGAAGCUGAUCUGUUCUUAUCCAGGCUGAGAAAUGAGGAUUCUUAGUUCUUGAUCCAGAUCCAGUAUUAGAGGAGCUAGCCGCACUUUCAUCUUAAACAAGAUACUGAUCUGGACAUUUAUUUUCUCCAGUGAAAAAUCCUUCUAGGCCAUUAAUUGCCUUUAAUCGAAGUUAACACUUGAGUUCUCUAGAUGAUAAAAUUGUUUUGAUCAGUUUCACAGGUGUCACAAAGUUAUAUAAAGUGUUUGUUUGAUUAGAAAGUGCUGAUGGCUCUGAUACCAUGAUUGAAUUCAGCUAAAUUGGUCUUUGGUUAUAAAGAAAAUGAAAUGGAAAGUGAAAGGAAAAUGUAUUUUAUUCAAUCAUAACAUCGAAUACACAAUGUGUUCAGAUCUCACUAAUUAUAUUACAAGAUGGAUACAAGAAUCUCAUAGUUAGAUUGUUCUGGAAUCUUCAUGUAUGGUUAAAGGCUAUUGAAUCUGUUAUAUCCAACUUGCCAAGUCAUCAUAACUAAUUCUCAUCUGGUAUACUAAGCUACAUGCUAAACCACCAGCUUUAUCAUGUUCUUCUAUCAUACUCUGUAAACUCUGCAUAACACCAUAUCAGAAUCACUGCAUAGCAUCAUCAGCUCAACAUCACUGCACAAUAUCAUCAGCAUCAUCAGAUACUCUAACAUUCCUUAUCUAGCUGAUUGCUUGUUUUGUUUACGUACAACCCAAAAAAGUAAUAAACACCAACGAUGCGUGAUAACUGGUAGGAAUCUGUUAUCUCGCAGUCUCCCCUUUAUAUAGUGUCAGGGUGAAGUUGGAUACUUUAGAUUAUGAAUUUUUUGUAGCGUCAGUGUGCAGAGUGUAGUGUCCAAAAAAUUAUAUAUUUUUUCUUUUGGUUGACUAGUUUUGCAUUCUUUAUGGUCUUUUGAAGCUCCACUACCCAAAAAAAAAAAAAAAAACUGAUAAUAAAUUACAUUCAGUUUAUGAUCGGUUCCACCAUGUCAUAAAAAUAUGAUAAACUCCUAAUAGAAUUUUCAUCUAUCAAAAGAUUAAUGAUGGACUUAUGAUUGAAUUAUUAUUUAACAAAAAUAUAUGAUAGCACCGUGAUAAAAAUAUAUUUUUAUCCCUUAUAAUCCAUUAAAUGUAACUUUUCACUUAUGGAUACGUACAAAUUGGACUAGUUUUGAUUUGUACAUAUUUUAUAAAUUUUAACUUAAUAUCAUCAAUUAAAAAUGUGAUUUUUUAAAUAAUUUUUUUUAUAAUAAAUAGUGAUAAGAUGAAGUACUAAAAAUUUAUUAAGAUUGCGCAUGACAAUAGGAACUUAGGCAAAGAAUCAAAGUUUGAUUUUCCCCUAAUAGAAAUUUAUUUUGACCAUGUUUGACCAUAUUUUUAAUUGUAAAUUUAUGAAAAAACCAAAAUGGGCAUUCGCAAUCUAAUUCCCUCAUGUCAAAAAAUUGGAAAACCCUAAGCUGCCUAACUCUCUCUCCCUUGUCGUCGUUUCACCAACACACCCUCUCUCGUCAGUGUUUCAGCCUGUCAGUCGCCAGCCCACCACCAUUUUGAUUGUGCCGAUUGACAUGACAGACUCGCAGCUUCCAUCUUGUCGACAUCGUGGCUUCCAUCUCUUCGCCAUUGCAGUUUCCAUCUUGUCGGCGUUGCAGCUUCCAUCUUGUUGGGGUUGUGGCUUCCAUCUCAUUGGCGUUGCAGUUUCCAUCUCAUCUGCAUUGUAGCUUCCAUCUUGUUGGCGUCGUCCCAUCUAACUCAUCGGUUUUGCAACUCCUUCACUUGAUGGUAAGUAGUAUCUUGACUCUUCACGGUUUCAGUGUGUAUAAUUUCUUAAAGCUAAUUAAAGAAAAAAUCUGUUGGUUUUGUGUAAAUUGGUGAUUGAAUAAUCAAAGUGAUAAAUUGUUGUUAAUGACUUAAUUUUUUUGACAUUGUUAAAUUAAUGUUAUUGUUAUGGGUCCUUCACAUAAAUAGUGUGUGAGUCCCACACAUACACUAUUCAUGUGAGGGGAAUGUAUCUUACAUGCAUGUAAGAUAGGGUUUGCCUAUUGUUAUUGGUACUCUUUUCAUUUUUCUGUUCUUAUUUGAUUGCCUUCGUAUUUUAACUUUAUAUGGGAAAAUUUGAUGUUUAGUGGGUGCCGUGAGUAAACUAGUGCACUGUAUAUAUAUUUUUCUGUUAUUUUAGCUUUAGAAAUUGUUAUUUCAGCUUUAGAAAUUGAUUGCAAUGAUUUAGAAAAUAAGUUAAUUUUAUGUUAUAUUUGUAUGAUGAAAAAUAUAUAAUAUUUUUAUUAUUUUUAUCAAAUUUAUUAUUUAAAAAUCAUUUUUGUAACAAUUAUUAAUAUUUAUUGUAUAAUUACAAAUUUUUUCUAUAACAACUAUAGUUUAAAAAAUUUCAGUACCUCAAUAUCCUUGAAAAAGUGAAGGUUUAUUUUUUUAAUCUUUUUUUUUACCUUUUUUCCAUUUUCAUUUUAGCAUUUAUUUUUCCCACAUUGUUUUAAUCCUUUAUAUAUUUUUGUUUUUAAGAAAAAUACAUACAUAAAUACAUAUACAUAUAUUUGGAAGAGCGGAUAAAAGUAUAUAUGUAAUUUAUAUGUGACCUCACACUUUGAGUAUCUCACCACAAUAACUGUUUUAUCUGUAUGUGUAUAUAUAUAUAUUUUUCCUUAAAUGGUUGAGAAUCCAUAAUAAUGGGCGCCAAGCUAGUGGGAUUUAGUCGAGUGGGUUUCAAACAAUUUUAACUAGUCAACCAAAUUCAAUAACCCCAUUUUUUUGAAUCAACCUCAUUAAACUAAAAACUUUUUAUUUCUAGUAAAAACUUAAUUAAUUUAAUUAUAAAAAUAACGCUCUAUUCAGCAAAUUAAAUGAAAAACUGAUCAAAUCUCUGUUAAAGAUGCAGUUUAAUUACACUUUUUAUCUACAAAUUGAAAAAUUGCUACUUUUUUUUUUUCGAAAUAUGGAAUUUCUAAAAUUGAAUUAAUUAAGUUACCGAGAUUCAAGGCAACUGGAGAUUGGCCAUCCGCAUAGCAAGCAUCAAAAACAACUUUCAACUUCUAAUAAUUAGAAACUCCAGCAACCUCCCGUCAUUCAAAUACAUGCCAGAUCCUCAAUAUCCUGCCACAAUGAUUAAAUAACUUUUCCCUUCCUCGCCCUUGUGAAUCAUUCAUUACUUACAAGCUAGGCACACAAAUUUGUACACCGAACCAAGAAUUGCUGUUUCAUUUUUUUUUCACAAUUAAAUGGGCCUAAUAAGAGCUUUAACAUCAUGAAUCAAUCAAUAAAACUGAUCGAUCUGUUCCUUUUGUGGAUAUAAGCUAAUACAAGUUAGCCCAACCACGUUACAAGCUGUGUGCUGUGUUUCUUUGAUUCUGUUACUGUGAUUCUAUUGCUUUUGUUUCAUCAUCAUUUAAAUCUAAGCUUUGAUUCUUGUGCACUGAUCUAAGAUUACUUGUGAAGCAUCACGAUUGAUCAAGAUUGAAGGUCUUGGGCAGUGUCUUAAGUUUUUGGUUUCAUAAGUCACUACAGUUUUAUCUCUUCUUUGUCUAAUUGUAGAAAUUUAAGAGAUUUAAGCUAACUUAUAAAUGGAAUAAUUCCCUCCAUCUAGUAGACUAUGCUUUUUAGUUAGAUACUGAGAAAUCUUAAGCCCAACUCCCAAUAAGUGAUAUCAGAGUUAAACCCUAAUAGUCGGAAUAUGGUGGUGGACUAGCUCAAGUAUGUAGGAUGAAAGGAUUGGGGUCUGGUUAUAGUUUGGUCCGAUGGAAGAUUGUUAAAGGGGGAAUUGUAGAAAUCUAAGAGAUUUAAGCUACAGUUAUAAGUAGAAUAAUGCCUUCCAUCCAGUAAGCUAGUCUUUUUAGUUGGAUACUUAAAAAUGUUAGGUCCAGCCCCAAUUAAUGGUAUCAGAGCCAAUGGAAUAGCUCACGUAUGGAGGACGAAAGGACUGAGUUUGGUGGUAGUUUGGUCCAAGAGAAGAUUGUUGAGUUGUGUCCCAAUAUUGGUUUGGAUACCUAGAAUGUAAAAGUGGAGUAGCUCAAGUGUGUCAGACGAAAAGACUGGGUUCCAGUGGUUGUUUCGUCCAAGGGGAUUAUUGAGUUGUAUCCUACAUUAGCUAGUAAAAGACAGUUAAUUAGAUUUAUAAGUAUGAUAGGUGCCUAGUUAGUAAAAGGAAGUUACUUAGAUUUAUAAGUAAAAUAGGUGCCAUCACCUAAUAGACAAUUAUUUUGGGAUGGACACCUAAAAAUCCUAAGCUUAACCCCCAAUAUUGAGGUUUUUUCUAGGGAAAAAUAAAUCAUCUUAAGAAGAACCAUAGGAAGUCUUUGAAUCAAACAAAGAACCGAUGUUCCAGCUACUUCUUUAUCCAGUCGGAGAGGAUGUUUUGGGUGGGGGGGAGGUCUUAAGAAGAACCAUAGAUGGCCUUUGAAUGAAACAAAAAGCCAAUGUUCUGGGUAGUACUUUAUCCAGUCGGAGAGAUGUAAAUGUGACUGCAAUAUUCCAUUCUGUUGAGAUCGACCGUACCAAAAAUAAAAAAAUCCUUAAAACAUGUAUCAGAGGUGUAAAGUGAAAAUAGGCAUCCAUCUAAGCUAGCCUUUGUCAACGACACAAUUAUAGAUAUAUGUAUUGUACUCGAAUUUUCUUAAAAUUUGUAUUUUAAUUUGAUAGUUAUAGCUUAAACAGUAUCAAAGUUUUUAAUAAAUACUUAUUGCAAUGAUUUAGAAAAUAAGUUAAUUUUAUGUUAUAUUUGUAUGAUGAAAAAUAUAUAACAUCUUUUUAUUUUUAUCAAACUUAUUAUUUAAAAAUUAUUUUUAUAACAAUUAUUAAUAUUUAUUUUAUAAUUACAAUUUUUUUCUAUAACAGCUAUAGUUUAAAAAAUUAUAGUACCUAGUAUCCUCCAAAAAGUGAGUUUAUUUUUAUCUAUUUUUUAAUGCCGCCUUCAAUUUAUACUUUAAGUUUGAUAUAUUGCAUUACAUUAUGAACUUUGAUUGUACAUUUAAACUUUUGACUUUGGUUGUAUUGUAUGUGGUAUAUAUAUAUUAAAAAUUUAAUUUAAUCUAAUCUUUUUUAUUAAAAAAAAUUAAAAUUACUAUGUAAGGACUUAUCAUUCAAUUAAAAUAUAGCAUUAACAAAUGAUGUUGUACUCCCGGAACAGAAGCACCUAAGACUUCCUCAUCAAACCCUAUCUAAUAAUAACAAGUAGAACAUAAAAUAUGAAAUUAUCAGUACUUAAAACGUCACUUCAGACCAACUAGCAAUUUGGUCAUUUACUAUCAGAUCAAUAAGGAUGGCAAUGAGACGAGUUCGGGGUGGAAAUUAUGGUCUCUGCCCCAUUCCUGAAUUAGAAGUAAUUCCUGAACCUACCUCGUACCAGCAAAUUUAUAUUUGGGAAUAAUUUGGGGAUAUUCUUGAUAACUCCUGAAUGGGACGAGGAUUAAAAUGGAGACCCAAUCCUCAAUUUUUUAAUAUUUUAUUUUUUUAAAAUACUAAUUAUACUAUAGUUAAAAUUUUAAAAACAUAAUAUUUUUACCGUUACUUGCAUCUUUUAUUGAUGUUCUUAUGAACCAAACAAAAAGUUUGUUAAUUUACUGAAGGAUCAUGUGAGCUGGAUAUAGGGCGGUAAUGAGUUGGUUUGUAUUGAGUUUUAGAUCAACCCAUAUUAAAUAAAAAAAUGUCUAGAUUCAAUCCAAACAAAUUUAAAUAUUUUUUUUAACUUAAUCCAAGUUAACUUAUUUAAGUUUGGUUUGAAUUUUACUAUCAAAAUAUCUUUUGUUUUGAUAAAUUAAUUUAUAUCAAAAUUGUAAUAAUUAUUAAUUAUUAUACAUAUUAAUUAUUAAAUAAAUAUUAAAAUAUGAAAUAUAAAUUGUGGAUAAAGUUAUUAUAAAAAAUAAAUUUUACAAUAACUUCAUCCGCAAAUCAAAUAAUACUAGAAAAAUAAAAUAAAGUUGAAUAAAGAAAAUUUUUAUUCUUAAUAAAUGAGAACGUAAACUCUAACAAUAAACUUAUACAAAUAUGACAUUAACAAGUUAAUUGAAAGAAAGAAAAUAAAAAGUAUUAACCCAUUAUAACACAAAACUCUAACAAAUUCCAUAUAACUAAAAACAAGACAAGACAACCCAUCAUAAUCAUUCCUAUCAACAAUACUUUCAUUAAGAGCUUCCAGGUCAAUUGAGUGUGCUCCUUCACUAACAAAUAAAAUAACAAAAAAAAAAUAUAUAAUGUUGAAUAGUUACAAAGACAAGAGUAAAUUUGGAAAAGAACAUGCUUCAUUCACCAAAAUUAUUAGAAUAACAUCAAUUCAAAGUUAUUACCUUUGUUGUUACACUUAAUCUAGACUCUACAUUGAAUAAAAAAAAAAUUAGUAAAAAAGACUAGUGAUAAACAAAUAUGUAAAUACUUUUUCUUAUUAUGAUGAACAUUUACCUAGCAUCUUGCUUUGAGUAAGUUUCUAAGGAAUAAGUAUCAUGACAACUUUGAGUUCUCAUCCAUCUAAAAUUAAUUGAAAAAAAGAAUCAUAUAACUUUGGGCCAAUAACUUUAAUGUAAUAAUUAAAGAUUUUGAUAAAUAAAAGAACUAUAAUUGAAAUUUUUUGAUUUUGCAUUUCGUGCAAGAGAAGUUAUAUAUGGUUUUAGAUGCCCGGAAUUUCAAGUUUGGAGCGAGAAUUUGACAUUACUAAUUGAUAAAUUAGCUACUAAGUUCUUGAGGAUGAAGUAAUCUAAUAGUGGUAUUGUAUAAUCUAAGAGCAAAAAUAAAACGAACAUUUAAAUCGAAUAAUGACAUUUAAAUUAUAUCAAGCACAAGCGAAAAAAAGAGAAAAAAAUUAAUUUGGCAGGAUCACAUAAAUAAUUUCAUCACUUGUUGCCUUCUCAGUUCUCACUUUCUAAUUAAUUAAUCUUAAAAAAAAUCAUAUAGCUCAACAAAUCUCAAACCAGAAUCAAAACCUUUCAAAAGGAACAAAUAUUGCGAUUGAAUCACCAAGCAAACAACUUCAAUUAACUAAAUCCACUAAUUCCAAGCAUACCCAUUAGACAAAUCAUUUAAAACAAUUAAAAAAAAAUGCUAUUCAUUCAAAUUAAGCUUUACCCAUUAAACACAAAUGCAAGAGCACCUCAUAAAUUAAACCAUCAGUCUCUUCUAAAGCUAAAGUCUUGGAGGACCACUGCACAGUAACCAAAGAAAAAAAAAGUUGAAGCUUUUGUAGCAGAAACAGAACCUCACCUUAGAUCAACAAAAAGGUUGUAAUCGAACUUGGGGGCUCUCAAGAUUCUGUAAUUUCAGUUGAGGACAAAAAAAAAACAAACGUUGUUUGGGAAGUUCUGUGUCAUGGUUUUAGAUCUAAGUUAGUUUCCAUCGACGAUUGGCGCUGUCGAGAGAGAAGAGAGGCUACUGAUGUCGACAAUCGGCACAGCCGCUGCGGCAAUGUCGAGUUUUUGGUUUGGAUUUUGAGUGAAUUUUUAAAUGGGUUAACCAAACCCAAACCAUACUUCUACUAUUUACUCAACGCCAACCAUUUAAUUUAGCUUGGUCAUCCAGUUGGAUGUAUGGCCUUAUCAUGUAAAUUCGACAAGUGAUGUGAUUUCUCGAACGACGUUUUGGAGCAACUAUGAAAAAGGAAUAAGGAUUUUCGUACUCCAAAUAGAACUAUCUAAUCUCCCCUUGCAAGCUUUGCAGUUAUUUGAAUUAACAAGGUGUUUGGAACGAAAGAAAGUGAAAGAAAAUUUAGAAAGAAAAUUUGACUAAGAAGAUUCUGGAACAAUCACAAAUCUAAUUGAUGAAAACUGAUGAAAUCAUUCUUUGUAAACGAGCUAAUCACUAUUUAUAGUUACACACAUACUGAUUACAAAAACAGAGCUCAAAACUGCAAUGUUAACAACUAAUUAACCUUCCAUUCAUAUUAAGCCGGCUGGACUAUUAGCUACAACUUAUUCAAUGCAAAUAACAACCCACUCUAGCUCAGCAACUUUUUACACAUCAUCAGCCAGCUCAGCUUACACUCUUAACAACAGUCGGUUUACAUUCCAAGAUAGAGAUGCAAGAACUAAUCUCUAGUUAAUUUAAAAAGGAUGAUAAGUUAAAGCUUUGGUAAGGAUAUCGGCUGAGUUAUGAGAACUGGGAACAUAGGUGACUUGAAAACUAUUAUUAGCAACCUUUUCUCACAAGAAAUGAACAUCAAGUUCUAUGUGUUUAGUUUGAGAAUGGAAUUUAGGAUUACUUGCUAAGGCAGCUGCACUCUGGUUAUCACACCAAAUGACAGGAGUAGAGGCGAGGGAAAUGUCAAUUUCAAUAAGCAAUUACUUGAGCCACAAAACUGUUAACAUGUGGAUGUUCAUUAUAUUGAUUUUGAUGAUAACAAACUUUAAAUAUUUUUUAUUAAAAUGAUGAAGUUUUUCAUUAAAGGAUUUCUCAAAAGCCGUAUAAUCUUUCUAAAUGUGUUCAUAAAAUAUGGAUAAUCGUUAAACUUUAAUCGGAAAAUCAUUCCUUGUGAAAUUUCAUUAAAACUGUGAUGCUGGAAGUAAACAGUGAACCGUUAACUUUGAAACGAUUAAUCGAUAAUUUCCAAAGAGGAAGAAAUCCUUAAGUUUCAACCAUUUAGUAAAAACAGAUAAGGCAAAUGAGAUUUGUAGAUUACUGGAAUUAAACGGCGAACCAUUAACUUCAAACGACUAACCGAUAAUUUCCAGAAUGUCAUUCAAUGCUAACCUUCAACCGUUUAGCAAGAACAGAUAGCAGGAAUUUGUUUUGCAGGUCUCUGGAAAUUAAUGGCAAAUUGCUAGUGACAAAUUGUCAACCGUUUAUUUGAAAUUUCAGCUUAACGGACACUUAGACCAGUCAAAACAGUUAAUCGAUAACGGUUAACGGCAAUCCGAUUUUGAGCAAAAAGUCAACAACAACUAUUUUUCAACUCCAAUCAUAAAUAAGCUCAAUCAAAUGCAAACAAGAGUUGAUCACAACAUUAUCAUUGAGCUUAUAAUCGAGAAUACAAUAUUCAUUGAGCUUCAAAUUCAUUUUUGUUCAUUUAUUCACACAUUAAGCAUUGAUUUGUAAUCUUAUAUAUUGUGUGAGAUCAAAACAAAUUUGUAAUGUUUGUUUUGAGUGAUUGUAAGUGUUGGAAUACACUUGGGUUAAGAGAUUGAUGAUAAUCUCUGGAUGUAAAGGUUGAUUGACACCUAAGAAGUCAAUUGUAAGUGUUCUUGAAGUCUUGAAGUCUUGAAGGCUUGACUAAUGGAAUCCUUAAGCUUGGUGUGCUCGGAGGCGUGGUCGUAGGCAAGGUUGGCCGAACCAUAUAAAAAUUUCUGUGUUUGAAUCUCUCUUCCCUUAUCUUUUUAUAUUUUGGUUGAUUUAUUCAUUAUUGUUUUAAAUUCAUUUAAGAUUUGCAUUAAGUUUUGUUUAAGAAUUGCUUUUUUUUUUAUAGAAACCCAAUUCACCCCCUUUUGAGUUUCUUAGAUAUUAUUUCAAAAACUUCAGAGGCAGCCAUUGUUAAAGCUCUAUAUUUUGAUUCAGUACUUGGCCUAGACACCACUCCUUGUUUCUUUGAACACCAAGAGAUUAGAUUUGGACCAAAGUAAACACAGUAUCCAACAAUUGAUUUUAUGUCAUCUCUGUCAGCUGCCCAAUUUCCAUCACUGAAACAAUCUAUGUGCAAGAGACCUUGAUUAGAGUAUUGUAACCCCAUAUGCAUUAUACCCUUAAGAUAUCUAAGAAUCCUUUUACAUAAUUGCCAGUGAUUAAUGGUUGGAGCAGCCAGAAAUUGGCUAAGUUUAUUUACUGGAAAUGCUUUAAGGUCUGGUUAAGGUAGUAUACUAAAGAGCUCCAAUAGUGCUUCUAUACAAAGUUGCAUCAGCAAAUGGUUCAUUGUUAGUUUUGGUAAGAGGAGCAUUUGCAGCCAUUGGAGUUGAGCAAGGAGUUCAAUCUUGCAUUUUGACUUUGUUGAAUAGAUCAGCUAUAUACUUUGACUGAGAGAGAUGCAAACCUGUUUUAGUUUUUGUGACUUAAAUACCAAGAAAAUAAUGUAGUUCUCCAAGGUCUUUUAGAGCAAAUGUAGUCUGUAGAUUGUCAAUAACUUGCUGAAUCUGAGUAGAAUCUGAACCCAUAAUAUCAUCAACAUAGACUAAUACCAGCAAAAGAUGACUUUGAACUCUCUGAAAAAACAAAGAAGUAUCUGACUUAGAAUUCUUGAAAUCCCAUUGUUUAAUCAACAUUGUUUUUAGUCUUUCAAACCAAGCUCUAGGAGCUUGUUUAAGACCAUACAAUGCCUUUUGAAGUUUACAGAUGUGUGUAGGUUUUGACUGAUACACAAAGCCUUUUGGUUGUUGCAUAUACACUUCUUUAGUAAGGUAACAAUUGAGAAAGGCAUUGUUAAUGUCAACUUGUCUCAGUGACCAGUGAUUUAGAAUAGCCAAACUAAGAAUAAAUUUAACUAUAGAAACCUUCACCACUAGACUAAAGGUCUCAUUGUAAUCAAUGCCUUGAGUUUGAUGAAAACCCUUUACUACAAGUCUGGCUUUAUACCUUGAAAUGCUACCAUCAACAUUGUAUUUAAUUCUAAAUACCCACUUGUUGCCUACUACUUUGACAAGGUAUGUAGGUUGAACAAGUGUCCAAGUUUGAUUAUCAACUAAGGCUUGAUAUUAUUCUCUCAUUGCCUGAAGCCACUUUGGAUCAUUUAGAGCAGUUGAAACUAUAAAUGGUUCUGUUGUUUUAGGAUCACAUUCAACUAGAUAGGCCUUUUAGGUUUGAAUAUCCCUAUUUUGGACUGGGUGAUCAUAGGAUGUCCAACAAUAGGUUGAGGAGGUGGAGAUAGUUGAUGAAUAAGUGAUUACUGAUUUAUGGGACUAGGAGUAUGGGAUGGGAAGUGAUUUUCAGAGGAGGAUAAAUUUGAAUUUGAAGAAGCUGGAUUGGAGGGCAACUCAAUUGCUGAAGGUGAAGAUUGAGAGGAAGAUCUAUCAAGCUUUGCAGCAGUCUGUGAUAAAGUAAAUGAGAUAAAAAGGAUUGACAGAAGAUCUAUCAAGCUACUGCCUCUUUAGCUCGCCAUUCUGUAGCUAGGGUAUUAGUGGAGUAUGAUGUCACUCAACCUCUGUUGCCACAGAUACGAAUCAGUGUGGGUGUAACACCAAAAAUUCCAUAAUAUUAAAUUAUGGAAAUUGGGCGUUCAUUAGGAAUCAUGCGUGGCCUUAUAACCCUUAUUAGAAAGGGAUAUUAAAUUAUAAAUAGGGGUUAUUUAUGAGAUAAUUUUUGGAAAAGGGUUAUUUUUCCAAAUUCAAUAAGGUUUCUUAAGACUCCCUAUAAAUUCAUAUUUUUUCCUUCCAUAACUCUAAACCCACAACAUUUCUUCUUCUUCUCUACUGCUCAUUACGCUCUUACCCAAACUCUAGGAUUCAAACCUUUAUUUAAGAGAGAAUCAAAGCGAUUGGUAAGUUUAUUCUCUUUAUUCUCCACAAGUUUUUCAAUCACUCUAUCUAGGGUUUAAAUUGACAUGAUUUUAGAUUGUUAUAGAUCAUAAUGCAUGAUUUAGGAUGUGUUAGGCUUUGUUUAGGGCUCCGAUUUAUUAUGAGUCUAGUUAAUUAAUCCUUGAUGCAUUAAGCACCUAUGAUAAUUCUGGACAGCGUGAGUACCUCGAAUUUCAACCUGUAUUUUCUAAACGAUGUUUCUUAAGAAAUUUAUAUUUCUGGAAACUAGACAUGUAGAGCUUCUUGAAUAAAUUUUUUUUCAUUAAAUUUGACUUCGUUUUUUAUUUUAUCUCUAUUUACGAAACAGACACUGCUGCACUGGAAAACUACGAUUCCAGUGCUACGACCAGAUUCAAAAAAUUAUUUAUACUACCAAAUGAACUCGAGAAAUUCUGAAAUUUUAUUUAGAAGUUAAUAUAUGUGUCUAGUAUUUCUAUUUUUAAUUUUGUAAUAUUCUGAUUAGUAUCUGAUUUUAUAAAAAUCUCAGAACUCUCUCUGUUCAGUAAAGGUAUUGUGAAACAGUUUCAAAAUUCAUCAAGAAAUAAAUAGUUUUGAAAAUAUUUUUUGGUAUCGGAUCCACUUGAAAAUCUUACAUGCGGUACCCAUGGAUGUCCAGAAUAGUUUCAUAGAAUAUUAUGUGAUUCUGAGUUUUAGAUUAAGAGUUAAAAUUCUAAGAAUCAGACAUGUACGAGUAUGAAUUAGAAAGACCAGGUUCUUAGAAUAAGUUAUUAAUUGUCAUUUCUUGUAUGUGUUUAAGGUGUUGGAGGUGAUUGAGGCUCUUAUAGGCUUAGAGGUGUGUUAAUUCAAAUUCUUUUGUCGAGGUAAGUAACUUCAUUCUUAAUGUACCGGAUAUAUAUAUAUGAUUAUUUUGAUAUUAUUAUAAGUAUAAAUGUUUUUAUACUAUUUAAAGGAUUAAUUGAUUUUGAUAACAAAAUUAGUUUAUGUAAAUGUUUUUGAACCUAAAUUCUUUCUAACAAAAUAUUUUAUAAAUGCUUUUUAAGUAUGUAAGUUAUUUCGUUACAUAACUACCUUUUAUGAUCUUGUCUUUAAAAUAUUAUGCAAGCCUAAAUUGUUGUUAUGAAUAUUUAUGAAACUGAUACGAAUGUUUUGCGCCCACUUAUGAUUUUAAUUAUUUAUGAUUGUAUGGGGGCCACUUCUUGAGACUAUAUGGGGGCCACCUCUUGAGGGUCAAAGCGUCGCAAAGUGCCACAUAUGGUGCAAAGUGCCACGUAUAAGUCAUUAUGUAUGAAACACUGAUUUGAAUGUUUUGGCUCAUUGUCCGUAGUUAUUCUGAUUUUGAUUUUGAUUUUGAUUUUGAUCAUAUUAUACGACAUAUAUGUUCUGGACCAGUACUGUGUUUCUGUUCUGAGUGUGCACACGAUAUUCUGAUUCUGAUUCUGAUUCUGUUUCUGGCCAGGUCACCGGGACUAUAGGUGACACUAUGUGACAUGAGCUAACCUUUUGUUUUCUGUGAAUGUGAUAUAUGAUUUGCUUUCAUAAGUAACUAUGCUUUUGAUAUUUUGAAUUACUAUGAAUUUAUGUUAUUCUAUCAUGAUAUAUCGUUUUAUGAAAUUUAUGAAUUAUGAUAUAUGUUUUUAAAUAAAAGAAGGCUUGCAAUAUUUUUGGUAUCGGUAGGCCUAGUGUGUUAGGAAUGGUUUUACUUAUCGCGUUGACGGCUCACCCUUCAUCAUUACUUUUUGCAUAUUAAGUUUCUUUUGAGAGGUGUGCUUAGAUUUGGAGUUAGAGAUUUCGUGUCUGUCUGCUAGUUAAAUAUGAGGAGGAAUAAACUCAUAUUUCUCUUAAUUUUAUUUCUAUUAUGAACUUGUAAUUUGAGAGUUUUAAGACUUUUGUCAUAUUUAUGUCUUGGAGAGAGAAUGAUUAGUAUUAGACAUAUGGAUUUGUGGAUUUUAUUAAAUAAAAUUUAAGGUAUUUCGAUUUGAGAUUUUUGGCAUAAGGAUUUGAAUUUGUAAGUAACCUCAUUCUACAUGUGUUAGAUUUGGGGUGUUACAGUGGGAGAUUCUGGACUUUGGCAGAGUGUAAUUUUUGAGAAAACGCCACUCUACUGUGCUUCCUACAAGCACCUUGGUCAUACCAUUGAGACAUGUUACGUGGCCAAUUCGAAGCUCCGUCUCCAGCGGCCCAGUGGGAACUGGCAGACCAGAGUAGAAAAUAGUAAGAAGUCAGAAGUUCUGCCGUUAGAUACUCCACAACCCUAAAAUACUCCACGACCUGAGCCUUCCAUCACUAAACAGAUUGCGGAUGCGGGGUCUCCGAUUACCAAUGUCUUACCUACAGAGAACCGAGCUAACGUUACAAAUUCUACUUCCGUUCAGGAGCCGAUUGCCCAGGAUGCCACAACUUAUAAUUCUAGGGUUUGAAAACCUCAGGAUCAAAGCCCUUUUCCCCUGCGGAGCAUUGGUGACUAUAAUUAAUCCACAUCUUCAACGAGCAUCCAAGACAGAUUUUAGGCAUUACAAUUCUCAUACUGAUAAUGAUGAUAGUUCUGGCGAGCACCUGGCGAAUAAUGACCACUUUUUGUCUGCACCUGAGAAUUCUGAGAGAAUUGACUUUAGCCCUGAUUUUAGCGUUGCCAGUCAACAUUCGAAAAGGGGCAUUAAAUUACUUGCCAGCCGCAAGUAUCGUAAGAAAUAUUAUAACCGUCUGCAUUAGUCAUUUUUAUUAUGCUUCUUACCUUAGGUUAUGCCUUAAUCAUUUCUUUUACUAUUGUAUUUAUUUCUCUUGAUUGGAGGUUUUGGUUUAUGUCUCCCGGCAACGGCGCCAAAAUUUGGUAGUUGUCGAAGCCAACAAAAAUAAAUUCAUACUCUAAAUAAAUUGUGUAUAGUGAUUGAGCAGGGUCGUGUCCACAGAGAUCGGUAAUUAUUUAAAUCCUUUUAAAACGUAAAACAUAAAAUGGGGGUUUUGUUGACAAUAAUAAAAAUCAAAUUAAAAUAACAAGAAUGCAAAUUAAAGUUGUAAUUCAAAUUCGAGAAAGCUCUGGUUGAAGGAAUUAAUUCAGCUUGAUUCGACUACUGAUCAUUGAUUCAAAUAUAGAUUAUUAUUACUUAUGAAUAGACCGGUUAUAGCUACUGAGACCCUCUAAUAGCCAAUCUCUCCUUAACUAGUCGAUAACCAAGGUACGACCGUUGUCUAUUUCCCUAAUCAAUAGACAACCCUAGAUACGAUCAUAAGAUUUAAUCAAUUGACAGCCUUAAAAACCAGAGAGACCCAAAUCCUAAUCAACACAUACGAUGAUUCAUUUAAAUUAGAUUGUUUAUUCUCAUAACACAACUCACUGCUAUGUUAUUUGUCACAAACAUUAAAAUCUUCAUACGAUGAAUCCUUUAAUUAACAAUAGAUUAAGUUGAUAAUUAAAUAGUGGCCAAUUACCUAAUUAACAAACAUAAUCAUGAAAAUAAUUCAGAGAAUAAACAAAUACCAAAAAGCAAUAAAAAAAUUAAAUCAUAAAAUAGAUCUCACAGUAGUGAUGAAUCAAAGCUUCAUUAUUAUUCAACCAGUAAAAUAGGUUUAGUUCUUCAUAGAGAGAAGAGAAACGUUUAGAUCUAGGGUUUCUUUCUCUUCUCCAAAAAGUCCAUUUUUUUCACAAUAGAUUCCUCCCUUUAAUACUCUCUCUCUCUUCUCCUUUAGAGUUCUAUUUAAAAUAAAAUAUUAAUAUCUGAAAUAUUAAAUUUGUAAUUACAAAAAUAACCAAAAAUACAAAACACGUUAAACUAAAAACUGCAGGUCCGUAGUUGACAGCACGCGCCCACGCCUUAUCAACAAAGUUCUUCUGACGCUCAUAAUUUCUCCAAGAGCACAAUCAUCUUUAAACAUUAUCUUAUAGCUCAAUUUUAUCACAAAUCAAUAGAAUUGCACCUACAAAAGUAAAACACAAGUAAAUCAUUAUUAUUAAGUGCAAAACAUCGAUAUUAAGGGAAGUAAACAAUGCAAAACUAGUGCAUAAAUUGCACUCUAACAAAUUCCCCCACACCAAGAUGAUGCUUGUCCUCAAGCAUAUAACUCAAGAUUAAUCCCAAAUCUUCACUCAAUUCUCAUGUCAACUCAUCCAAAAACAAUUUUAAGCAAGUAUACCUCAAGAAAUUAAGUCGAUCAACAUUCGAGAGACAAGGAUUUUAAAGCAUAGAAUCUCAUAAGAUAGAAUAAGAACAUUCAACCACCAAGAAGAUCCAUUCAAAAUUCAAGUGCAACAAGAUUUAAUAACCCUCUCAUUGACUUCACUCCAUGCACUCAAAGUGUUUAGGGUGUCAUUUAUUCACUCAAAUCAAAUCAAAGAAUGCUAUUACCAUAAGCUUGCUCAUAUAUCACAUCUCAAUCCACAAAACAUGAAUAAAAUGCAAAAAUCUAAGGGUCUUAAAAGGGUUGUAAUGGGGCUAAAUAGGUUAAAUGAAAAAGAAAGGUUUAUGAAAGAAAAAGAGAUCAAUAUGAGAAGAAUGAAUUCAUUGAAUGAACUUAUGAUAUCAAAAUGCUUAUUUCUACUCAAGUCACCAAGAAUGUAAACUUUUUUUUUCGAUUUUUUUUUUUCGAUUUUUCUUUUUCUCUUUUUUGUUGUUGUUGUUGUUUUUUUUUUUUUUUUUUGAAUCAAACAAAAGAAACGAACCUUGCACAAUUUAAUUCAAGCAUAAUGCUUGUUGAUCUAAUUGAGAAACUUUAAUACAAGGUAGAAAAAACAACAAAAUAUAUUCACACAAUGAGUCCAAAAAUCUCCUUAAAUUGAGGCUCAAAAAUAAGAAAAAUGGUUAAGUAGACAGAGAGAAUUAGAUGGGUAAUGGUUAAGGCUCAAACAAAGGUAGCAAAUAAAGGUCUUCGGGUAGAGAAAAAAGAAAAUGUGAGAAUAGAAAAAUGGUAAAUGGUUUGCCCUUAUCAUUUUAAUGCAUAAAAUCCCGUAAUGUGGCUUCAACAUGCAUAACAAAGCAAGUUCUAGAAUAAACAAACUAAGAUUGAUAUUUACAUAACAAAAAUAAGUAGAGCAAAGUGAUUGCUCAUAGGCUCAAAUCCUCACAAAGUUGGUAAAUUUGCCAUCAAAUCAUGCACGCUCUUCAAAUGAAUCAACCAUCAAUAGUGGUGUAGAAUGAGAAGAAGGUAUGAGUGAGAUAUAAAAGGAAAGGUAAAAAGGAUAAUAAGCGAGAAAGAUGUAUGUAGUUAAAAAAAAUGAAAGAUAAAAUGUAAGUGAUGAAAGAGUAUGAUAGAAUAAAAAUAGAUGUAAAUAAUUUGAGGUAGAUGGGAAAAGAGUAGUGAGAGAGAAAGGAAAAGAAAAUUAAUAAUAUAUGAAGCAUACUAACUCCAAAAUCAUUUAAGGAUGAGUAGAGUGAAAAUAAUAAUUCCAGACAUCAAUAAUGCAAAAAUCCCUCCCCCACACCAAGAACUUACAUUGUUCCCAAUGUAAGAUAAUCAAAGCUCACAUAAAAAUUAAAGCGUAAGGAUAAAAGAUUAAAGGCAAAAAAAACUUCCCUGAAUUGUGAGCUUUGAUUCACAUAACGUCUAUGGGCUUGGCGGAAAUGGUGGGGUAAAUCCCACACUCUCGAAGUAUGCGGCUAAAUUCUGCUUCAUCUUGUUCAGCUUGUGCUCCAUUUUCUCUAACUGAAUGCUCAAAGGUAGUGCGGAUGUAGAAGGAAUAGUUGGCGGGGCAGCAGUGUCGUCGUCAAACUCGUCAUCAGAGGUAGCACCACUCCUAGCAUAAAGCUUCUUUGGAGGUUGAGUGGGUCCUGGUUCAAUAAACUGAAAUCUCCCCUCCUUGAAUUCGACCACACCUGUUCUUUCAAACACAGACAUAUCCAAAAUUUCCUUUUUGCAAGCAAGAUGCAAAUCAUUAUUGUUAGGAUCAAGCACACAUAGGUUUAUAGCCAACAGAGUAAUGUAUGGACCAAGAAAUAAAGUUCUAUACCGUUUAAGCACACUUUGAAAUUGAUCCGCUAACCAAAAACCUAAAUUAGGCCUCACAUCAUUUAACAUGCACCAGAUAAAAUAAAAUUCAGUUUUAGAGAAAACUCCUGAGUGAUCUUUCUUACCUAAAAAAUUAUAUGCUAAGAAUUGAUGCACACAUUUCAAAACAGGAUCACGUAAGAAAGAACUAUUUGAUUUACUCGAGUCAUAGGCAUUGUGAUCAACAGAUAAAUUACGCCAAAGACCAUAAGGCUCAAAAUUUUCGCUAAAGUCAUAAGUUGUUCCUAAAUAUGCAUCACUAGAAGAAUAAUCAUCAUCAAUGAAUCCUAAAGAUAGGUUAAAAUCCGUGAUAGAGUGUGAAAAAUUUCGUCCCAUUAACCUAAACUUUAUGACAUCCGGGGUAUGCAAAGUAAAAUCAUUCGGCAUAUUAAAUUGAAAAGUAGCAUAAAACUCCCUAAUCAACUCAACAUAACCCAAACAAUCAACAUCAACAAACUUACGCAACCCAAUCUUAUCUAUCAAAGAAUAAAAAUUAUCCUUAACAUUCAAUUUUUCAAGAGUCAGGUAAUGAAUAUACUUAGCUGGAAGUAUUUUGCAAGUGGAAAUAUCUUUGUACCUCUCUUUCUCUUGUUGAGUCGCGAAUACGAGGAACCCUCCGAGAUUGGAUUCCGCAAGUGGCAAAACACUCAUGCCUUUUCCAUGUUUCGAUCUUUGUCCCACGGCUUGGCGUGAAUUUGAAAUUGUGUUCCAUGGAACCGUAGUGGGAGCGGCAAUCUUAGAUUUCUUUGCGACGAGUGUCUUUUUAGAUGACUUGGAAGUAGAUGCUUUCCUCUUCGGCAUUGUUACAAUAAUUGCACUCACGGAUUUCGAUUUACCCGGUUGGAAUACAGGGCAUAGGCUGGAUCUACGCUGCGUUGCUGCUCGGCUGGAGCUUGCUGCGCGGGUUGGGGCUGGUUGCGCACUGCAUUGCUGGGGCUUGCGUUGCGGGUGGGACUGAUUGUGCGGUGCGCGCGGGCUGCUGGAUCUGCGCGCAGCGCAGCCCAGCACAGUUGCUGCUGAUUGUGUGGCUGCGGCUGCUGCUGCGUGACUGUGUUGUGCUGCGCGUGGCUGCUGCUGCUGCGUGGGCUGUGUUGCGCGCACGGUUGCUGCUGCUGCGUGGCUGCGGCUGCUGGUUGCUGUGGGUGAAAACGAUAAUCAACAGUUAAAUUUUUUUUUUUUUGAAUUAGGGAUUUGUGAACAGUGAACAGUGAACAAUGAUUUGUGAUUUUUUUUUUGUUUUUUUUUUCAUUUUUUAAAUAAAAUAUAUAUAUAUAUAAAAGAAAGAAAAGAAGGAAAAAAAUAAAUAAAUAAUUUUUUAUUUUUUUUAGUGAUGAAUCACUUUGAGACACUAAAAAUUUCAGAAGUACUUUUCUAAUAAGCACGUGGGCACGCCUUAAAACCAUUUUACUUUAAAAAUCACAUAAGUACUUAUUAGUUAAGACGUGGGCACGCCUUAUCGAAAAUUUUCUUCUGGCCAAAAUAAGCAAACACAUUAUUUUUUUUAAAAAAAUCUGAAUCAAAAUUAAAAGAAGAUAUAACAAAAACCAAAAUAAAUAAAUCAUUUGGGUUGCCUCCCAAAAAGCGCCUUUGUUUUAUGUCUUUGGCUAGACACAUUUAUGCAUCAAUCUCCAUAAUUGGGACUCUCGAGAGCCACAUCCUCCACAAUAUUCACCGAAAAAUCUUCAUAAAAAGGUUUUAAGCGAUGACCGUUAACCUUAAAAACUUUGUCAGAGGUCGGACUCCGAAUCUCAACUGCACCAUGAGAAAAAACAUUAGUAACAAUAAAAUGUCCAACCCAGCAAGAACGUAAUUUACCCGGAAAGAGUUUAAGCUUAGAAUGAAAAAGAAGAACUUUUUGACCAACAGAGAACUCAUUUCUCAAAAUCAUUCUAUCAUGAAAUGGCUUCGUUUUUUCCUUGUAAAAACCUUCCUGCACUAUAGGGUUAAUAACAUCCACAGAAAAUACCGAAUGUUCCUCACUAGGAUAUUUCAUGGCAUCAUUCAUAUUGAAUUCUAUAACCUCUCCAUCAAACUCCAUAGUGAGAGUCCCUUUAUGUACAUCCAUUUUAGUCCUAGCAGUCUUAAGAAAAGGUCUUCCUAGCAAAAUUGGGACAAAAUUAGAGGAGUUAUCCUCUUCCAUAUCAAGUACAUAAAAAUCAGCAGGAAAAACCAACUCAUUAACUUGUACUAAGACAUCUUCUAAUACCCCAUUAGGAUAUGCAUUAGACCUAUCAGCUAGUUGAAUUAUCACGCUAGUUUCUUUUAAUGGACCAACAUUCAAAGAUGAAUAAAUAGAGCGAGGCAUGACAUUAAUAGAAGCUCCUAGAUCUAACAUAGCCUUUUCAACUCUAACACUACCAAUUUUACAAGGGAUAGUAAACAUACCUGGAUCCUUGCACUUAGGAGGUAGUUUCUUUUGGAGAACUGCUGAAAUAUUCUCCCCCAUGUGAACUUUUUCAUCUCCUCUUAAUUUUCUCUUGGAGGUGCACAAUUCCUUAAGGACUUUAGCAUAUUGAGGUAUUUGUUUUAUAGCAUCUAAUAAAGGAAUAUUUACCUCAACCUUGCGAAAUGUCUCAAGGAUGUCUUUCUCUUGUUCCUCAUUCUUGGAUUUUGCAAACCGACUUGGAAAAGGAGGAGAUAUCACAAUAGGUAGGGGUUUCGCUCUGGUGGGUUGCGCAUCUUGAGAUUUAGGCAUCAAUUCAUUCUUCUCAAGCUCAUCUUCUACAUGCUUUGUCACUUUCUUACUAGGCUCUUGUAACUCAUUCCCACUUCUAAGGAUGACAGCACUAACGUUUUGAUUUGGAUUCACCUCAGAUUGUGAAGGCAAUCUCUCUAAUACUUGAGACUUCAGACGGCUCACUGUAGUCGCCAAUUGACUCAUUUGGUUCUCCAAAUUCUGAAUGCUUGCUGUAGUUGCCUGCUGAAAUUGUUGAGUGUUAGUCACAAGUGAUUUAACAAUUUCUUCAAGAGAUAUACCUGACUUGAAGUUUGACUGUGGAGGUGCUGGUUGUCUUGGUGGAUACUGUUGUGGGAAUCCUGACGGCCUAACUCCAUAGCUUAAGUUGGGAUGAUCCUUCCAUCCCGGAUUGUAUGUUUGUGCAUAAAGAUCAUACCUCCUCUGAGGCAUGCCUGAAAAUCCUCUAACUGCAUUGGCUUGUUCAACGGGUUCUUCUUGAAGUGUAGGACACAUAUCAGUUGAAUGACCCAUAUUGGAACAAAUGCCACAAGUCUUCACCUGUUGCACAUUACCUACAACAAACUUUUUCACAAGAGAAGUAAGUUUAUCUAAAUGUUGUUCAACAGAAGAAAUAUUUACCUCAUUCACCGUUCUUGAAGUGGCAUCUUGCCUGCUGCCAAAUUGUUGUGCAUUGGCAGCCAUAUUUGAGAUCAACUCCCUUGCUUGAGUAGGGGUCUUGUUCACCAACACACCUCCACUAGCAGUAUCUAUCAUACUCCUAUCCAUUAAUGACAGUCCUUCGUAAAAAUAUUGAAUAAGAAGUUUAUCAGAAAUCUGAUGCUGAGGACAGCUGGCACACAAUUGUUUGAAUUGCUCCCAAUACUCAUACAAAGUCUUCCCAUGAAGUUGUCUGAUCCCACAAAUGUCUUUUCUGAUGUUGGCAGCUCUUGAAGCAGGAAAGUACUUCUCGAGGAACUGCUUCUUCAAACCAUUCCACGUUGUAAUUGAUCCAGGAGGCAAGUAGUACAACCAGUCUUUAGCUAGCCCAUCUACAGAGAACGGAAAAGCACGCAGCUUAAUCUGUUCUUCAGUCACGCCUUGUGGCCUCAUACUUGAACACACAACAUGAAACUCCUUGAAAUGUUUAUGAGAAUCUUCACCUGCAAAACCAUGAAACUUGGAUAAUAAAUGAAUAAGACCAGACUUUAAUUCAAAAUUUACCUCCAAGUCUACAUAUUGAAUGUAGAGUGGUUGCUGAUUCAAGUUUGGUUCAGCUAACUCUCUAGGAGUUCUUUCUAAAGGUGCAGCUCUAUCCAUUCUAAAGGUGCAGCUCUAUCCAUCACUUGUUCUUCCGAAUCGCUAGUGAUUCAACUAAAUCAGGCACCGUAUCUGUUUCAGAAAACAAAGGCGACGAGGAUCGUUGUUUAGCUCGCUUCGUCUGCUGUCUCAGCUGGCGAGCUGUCUUCUCAAUUUCAGGAUCAAACGAAAGUGUACCUGUACUAGAAGAACGAACCAUACACCAAGUAAAACGUAAAAAGGAUUAAAUAAAUGACACCAAUCCCCGGCAACGACGCCAAAAUUUGAUGGUUGUCGAAGCCAACAAAAAUAAAUUCAUACUCUAAAUAAAUUGUGUAUAGUGAUUGAGCAGGGUCGUGUCCACAGAGAUCGGUAAUUAUUUAAAUCCUUUUAAAACAUAAAACAUAAAAUGGGGGUUUUGUUGACAAUAAUAAAAAUCAAAUUAAAAUAACAAGAAUGCAAAUUAAAGUUGUAAUUCAAAUUGGAGAAAGCUCUGGUUGAAGGAAUUAAUUCAGCUUGAUUCGACUACUGAUCAUUGAUUCAAAUAUAGAUUAUUAUUACUUAUGAAUAGACCAGUUAUAGCUACUGAGACCCUCUAAUAGCCAAUCUCUCAUUAACUAAUCGAUAACCAAGGUACGACUGUUGGCUAUUUCCCUAAUCAAUAGACAACCCUAGAUACGAUCAUAAGAUUUAAUCAAUUGACAGCCUGAAAAACCAGAGAGACCCAAAUCCUAAUCAACACAUACGAUGAUUCAUUUAAAUUAGAUUGCUUAUUCUCAUAACACAACUCACUGCUAUGUUAUUUGUCACAAAUAUUAAAAUCUUCAUACGAUGAAUCCUUUAAUUAACAAUAGAUUAAGUUGAUAAUUAAAUAGUGGCCAAUUACCUAAUUAACAAACAUAAUCAUGAAAAUAAUUCAGAGAAUAAACAAAUACCCAAAAAGUAAUAAAACAAUUAAAGCAUAAAAUAGAUCUCAUAGUAGUGAUGAAUCAAAACUUCAUUAUCCUUCAACCAGAAAAAUAGGUUUAGUUCUUCAUAGAAAGAAGAGAAAAGUUUAGAUCUAGGGUUUCUUUCUCUUCUCCAAAAAGUCCAUUUUUUCACAAUAGAUUCAUCCCUUAAAUACUUUAAAUGACUGUUAUUGCUUUAGUUUUUUUAUACAUAUACAUAUACAUAUAUAUAUAUAUUAAGUGAAAACACUUUUACAACAUGAUUAGAAUUAAAUAUUUUCAGAAAUCCAAAUCUAAUCCACUAGGAAAGAUAAUGAAAAUCAGACUGCCAAGCCAUGAAGGUGAAAAGUGCACUAAACUUAGAAAGACUAUCGACCCACCGUUCCACCAAGAGAAGCUCUACCUUUAUGUGUACUAAUGGAAUAUUAAGUUCCAUAAUGCCAUCAUUUUCUUGCUUUUGAUAGAGCUUAUGUUGCCUGCGUUUUACAAAGUUGCAGGGAAAUAAUUACCAAGUGGGAGAAUCUGAUGUGUACUGAAGGAUCAGGUGAGUUGGAUGUAUGGCCUUAUCUUGUAAAUUUGAUAAGUGAUGUGAUUUGUCGAAUGGCUUUUGGGAGCAACUAAGAAGAAUGAACCAAUCCCAAACAGAACUAGCUGAUCUGGCCUUACAAGCUUUACAGUCAGUUUACAUUCAAGGAUAUAUGGAGGUGUAAAAAAUAAUCUCUGGCUGAUUUGAAAACAUGUGCAUCAAUCAUAAAGUUGAAAUUUACUUAUGACGAUAGUAAGUAUUAGUCUCCUAUUUCCUUAGUCUUUUUUAUUUUCAUUUCUAUAAAUGUUUUUAGAAAAAUGAACUUUAUUAAGUGCAAUUUCCGUUGUUAUUGUUGUAAAGACUGAAUUUGCAUAUUUUUUAGAUUGCAGACUUGUGCACUUAAGAAAAACGGUUUCUUGUUAAUCUCAUUUUAGUAAAUUUUUACUGCUUAUAUAUAGAUAUGUCCCUACUAAGAGAAACAGGACAAUGAUGGACCUUGACAAGGAAAUCCGCUCUUAGAAAUAAUGAAAACAGGGGAAGCUAAAAAGGAUGACUUAUUAGGUUUGCUUAUGGAAUCAAAUUUUAGAGAAAUUAAAGAACAUCGAAACAACAGACUUAAAGGGAUCAGUAGGGACGAUGUUAUCUAUGGCUAAGAAUGUAAGCUAUUUAACUUUGCUGGACAAGAGGAUACUUCAGUUUUGCUUCUUGGCACAAUGGUUUUGCAAGUCUUUGGUGAUAUGAAAGUUGAAAACUGACUUCGAUGGAUUGAAUCACCUCAAAAUCGUAAGUAUAUAUAACUCUAGGAUUUCAUUGUGAUCAAUAUUUUCAUCACACAAUUAUGUAUCUGUUAGGAUAAUAAUUUAAUAUUUAUUUAGAUACCACUCCCAAUGAUAUUUUUAAUAUGUAUGGAUAUCAUAAAUCGUAACAUUCUUUAUCCAUGCAUCUGUGAAUUCCAAGUAAUCACAUAACAAACCAUAUUUUUAUUUUAUUACAGAAACUAAAAACAAGUUUCAAAUUCAAGUACAGAUCACACCACACUUGCAUCAAACAGCAACAACAACAACAACAACAACAACUGCAGCAGCAACAGCAACAACAACAAGAAGGUAAAGAAGCCGUCACACAAGCUGCUUAUUUAAAAAAUAAUUGCACACACUUAACUAUUUUAAUGUCAAAUCGCUCCACCAACUAAGAGCACAAUCCAUGUCUGGAAUGGCACUCCCUAGCGAUGAAAAUUUUCAAGGCCUGGCCUUUAGGAGCUCUGUUUUCCCCUUUUGAUCUCAAUCAGCUUGUCAUGGAUGCACCACGGGAAGCUGAGAAAAUGGUCUCGAUUCAUUCCUUCUCGUUUAUACCGACCCCAGUAACUUGGAUGGUAAGUCACAUGGUACCAAGCUGAAGCUUUUGCGUAUACAGCUUCAUGGCUAGAAUCUGACUCAUUCUUCUUCUUGUUGAACCAGGUCCUGGCUUCUUUUCUUAAUGACCUUACAGCAAAAGUGAUUGCUUCCAAGUCUCUUUUCUUAUCAAAGGACUUUGCCAUUUCCAUGAUGCACCCACUCAGUAUUUCAGCCUCAGUUUUGAUCCCAUAAUAAUCCAUCAAGUUCCCCAACUUGAUAUCAUACUCAGUUUUGUAGUUGAAAGCAUCGAUGAUGUAGUGCUUAAAGCCAUCAACUUCCAUAUCAGUAUCAUAGGACUGCAUUGCCACUUCCUUAGUAAAGGAUUUCAUAGUGGCUGUUGAUGGUGCAAUGCCUUUUACCUCUCGAUAAAGCUUCCCAAUGACACGCUGUGAUUCAUAGCAGGUUUUGUUUUGCUUCUCCAUAAAGUCUGGAUAUUUCUUGACACGUAGUCCACUGGGUAUUGUGGCUGCUACUCCAGUUUUGGAGAAGUCCACUGCAAUGGAGGAUAGCUUUGCAAGCUCAAGACAUUUGCUGCUCCUCGCCUUGUCAGGUUCUGAAUCUGCAUGCACGACGUGGGCAUUGCAAAUUAUGCCCAAGCUGUCAUUGACUAUGUAAUCGGCAAAGUAUUCCUCUACAUCCUGCAGCAUAGAAGCAAAUAUGUUAAGGGGCAAAAAAAGGAUCACGGCAGAUUAAAGAGAGAAAAACAAAUGAUGAGAAGUUUUUCAGGAUAAGAUGAUACGCUGCAAUGCCUUUGGCUCGAAGAAAUUAGAAAUGACAGAGUGUAAUUACAAAAGAAACUAAGCAAAUAGAAGAGUUUAUUCAUGCAUAUGAAUGAAAUAAAUCUUAAAACAUUACUAGAAGAUUGAGCAAUACCUCGAUUGUCACGUCACGAUCCAAAACCUUUUCUGGUGCCGGAGUAUAAUCCAUUGGUCGAAACUGAAGUGGAGGAAUAAGUUCGUGGUCCCAGCAGACAAAGUAGACGUCACCGUCCAGGUCACUUCCCGAGCAUUCAUUUGUAUGGGGUCUAACAAAUAAUGCAACCAUUGUCAGUUUACACAGGUAUAUAUCUGAGCAUUUAUCAAAACAGAACAAGUCGUAAAAAAAUGUUCCAAUCGAAUCUAUUGAAAAUUUCAUUAAGAAUAAUCUAUUAUGAAUCGUACCAUAAGUCAUUCUUUGGGAAAAACCAGAAAAAAAAAAGCUUACCUUUUUCCUUUUGCCGGGAAAACAACACAAUCCACCAUGUGAUGCAAAGCAGGUACGUCCACAGCUCUUAGCACACGCAUGUCUCCUGGGUGUAGACAUGGAUUUUUAGCAACAACCACCUUUCCCUCCACAACACUAAGUUCUCCUGAUCGAUUGUUGCAGGAAUUAUCCAAAAACUCUCUUCUUCUAGAGGCAGAACAUUGAACAAAUACCUGACCAUAUUCUAAUGUGCCUGUUUCAUCAAGACAUCCCAUCAUUGCUCGUCCAUUCUGGAUAAAUAUCCUUGUUCUGGUUCUCAGCUCCAGCAGAUUUGAUGCGCGGAAUGUGUGUAGCAUCAUUGACAGAAACGGUUCUACAUCAGGCUUAUAACCACACAUAAGCAUUUCUUUCAAAACAUUUGUGUUCUCCCCUGAUGACAGCAGUUCCAGUGCCUCAUGUGCCUUCAAAGGAUCUGUUAAAAUGGCAUCUAAUCGCGCGACGCCCUCUCUCUGCUUCUUUUCAAAAACACGAUCUCUAAUGCCAAGAGCAGAGAAAAGGGUUAUCAACUGGCGAUUAAGGAAACAAGGCUGAUACUUGCUAUUUGCCAAAAUGUCUAGACUUGUGCUUUCCGAUUUGUACUUGAACAUACUCUUCCUCAAUGAUAACUUUGUUGAUGAAGUUGGAUCAACCGCUACAACACCUUUAUAGCCCCCAUAUCGAAUUUGAUAUGCGGAUGGAGUAUAAAUCGUGAAACCACAAUUUUUAGCCACAAUUUCAGCUAAUUCGGAAGAUAUUUUCCCUAUACCAUCCGAGAAACAAUAUGUAAUCCCAUCCUUCUCAACCUCCACAUCAGGAAUGAUUUCGAUAUCACUGCUAUGAACAUGCAAUGCCUCUCUAGAUGAGCUGAAAGACUGACCAAGUCUAGCCGCAUACUUUGCAACAUUCUUUAUAUCGCGAAAAUCACCCAUUCUCUCUCUGAUAUCUGCUGCAGUAAGCUCAGGCCUGGAUGCAAACAUCCACAAAGAAUUAUCUUUCACUUGACUAUUUGAAAAUGCCAGAGUUUCAAACUUCUUAUCUCCGAUGACUAUCCCAUUUCUUAGAGUUGAGAGUACUCUUUCAUAAAUUCUUGUAUGUCUUUCUUCAUUGGUGGAAGAUGUCACAGGAGACAAAACUGUUGAGUACAACUUAUCCAAGUCCUCAUCAACAAAAGAAAGACGAAGAAAGUUGUCAAUUUCAUCCGGAUAACUUCGUAACACACGAUUUGACAGACUGAUCUCCGGACCACAAAAAUAAACCUUAGAUGGGGUUACCAGAACCUUGUUAACAUAAACCAAACCAUCAUCUAAAGCAACAGCAGGGGUAUUAAGUAGUCUCCCAGAUAAGACAUACUUCCUAUAUUGCUCUGCGAGCCAGCUUACAGGCUCAUAACAGCAUUCUCUUAGAUGAAAUAGCGUCUCCAAAGCAUGUUCUAUGCAUUCCAUUUU
rnacentral:lncRNA from 1 species